rnacentral:rRNA from 1 species
AUUGAACGCUGGCGGCAUGCCCUACACAUGCAAGUCGAACGGUAGAGGGGGCAACCCCUCGAGAGUGGCGAACGGGUGAGUAAAGCAUCGGAACGUGCCCAGUAGUGGGGGAUAGCCCGGCGAAAGCCGGAUUAAUACCGCAUGAGACCUACGGGUGAAAGGGGGGGAUCGCAAGACCUCUCGCUAUUGGAGCGGCCGAUGUCAGAUUAGGUAGUUGGUGGGGUAAAGGCCUACCAAGCCGACGAUCUGUAGCUGGUCUGAGAGGACGACCAGCCACACUGGGACUGAGACACGGCCCAGACUCCUACGGGAGGCAGCAGUGGGGAAUUUUGGACAAUGGGCGAAAGCCUGAUCCAGCCAUGCCGCGUGCGGGAAGAAGGCCUUCGGGUUGUAAACCGCUUUUGUCAGGGAAGAAAUCCUUUGAGUUAAUACCUCGGGGGGAUGACGGUACCUGAAGAAUAAGCACCGGCUAACUACGUGCCAGCAGCCGCCGUAA